AACAGACCUGCGAGGUCUGCAGCCCUGUCCGCUAAGGGUGACUCAGAGACUGCCAGUGGCAGGCAACGGCCGGCGAUAGCAACAGGCAGCCAUGACAACAGCAGGCCACGAUGACAUCACACAGCCAUAACAACAAAGCAGAUGCGCAGGUGAGUGUCCAGCUCUCCAGUUAUACUCAGAGAUGAGAAAGACGACAAUGGGCAAAUUCCGGGAGUCCGGGGCAGGGAGAAAGGGGACCUUAAGGAUCUCCAGCCGUCCCGCCCCGCCCACUCGAGCAGUCCCUACCCGCCUCCCAAGACGCCUGGGAAGAGCAGUGGAACCAGGGAGAGCACGAACAGCAAAGAGGUCAGACAUGGGGAAUCCGGGCACCCAGGCUCCGGGAAGACGGCGCACGGAAACGCAGGGGAGCCUGCACCGGCUGACGGCGGCGGAAAAGGGCGAACGAAGCGCCUGAGGGCCCUGGCAGCACUCACCAGGGUCGUUCCAGCCCAGGGCAGGGCCCGCGGUCAGCAGAAACAAAUGCAAGCCGAGGAGCAAGCAGUACCCGGCCGCUCCCGGCCCGCAGGCUGCGGCCAUGGCGCUCGAUGAAGAUGGCGCCGGGCUGCCAGACGCCUACGGGCCGAACCUGGGUGCGGUAGCGCGCGCGACGCUGCGCAGCUACACCGCUACCCCUGGCGGCGGCGAAGGAACGGCCCGACUGCAGAGCUGCAGCCGCAACGGAUCCGUGCGCCAACCCUACGUCACUGCCGCUGCGGCCCGUGGGGCUCAGUGAGUGGCCGCCGUGGGCCCCCGCCCCUGGAGCACAGCGCGGCUUGGGGCGGGGCGAGGCGGUGUGGGCGGGGCCAAGGGCCUGGGGAGGCACGGCUGGAGGCGGGUUGGAGGCGUGGCGCCGCGGUGUGGGCGGGGCCGAGGGCCUGUCGCCGCCGCGCCCGCGGGCGGGGCGAGGGCAGCGCGCAGCUUUGUUGUGUCUCGUCUGAGAUUCGGGAAGCUUCUGUGCGUAGGCGAUGCAGUUUGAGAGGCUGAAAACGUCACGACGCGAAAUCUAAGAAAUGUAGUCAAAUUAUGUAUUAUUAAAACCUCAAUAAUUG
rnacentral:lncRNA from 1 species